CAUCUCUCAGCUGGACAGUAAGGGCCGUUCACACCACACACUGACAACAUGCUGGGGACACUCUGCACUCUCAUCACUGUGCUCUCAUGUAAGGGAAAUCUCAUGUGACAGUGGUUACACAGAAGCCUCCUGUUCUGUCAGUGAGUAAAGGAGAUACGGCCACUAUGGUCUGUAACGUUGGGACUGGGGGUGGUAGAGCUCUCUGGUACAAGCAGGUUCCAGGUGGAGUUCCUCAGUUUGUGCUGCGGCUCUAUAAAGAUGAACACUCUCCAGAUACAUAUGGAACUGGUUUCACAUCCAAUCGCUUCACAUCAACCCGUCAGAGUAAUACAGACUCCCAAUUUAUAAUUAAAAAUGUGGAGGCAGGAGACUCAGCAGUGUAUUACUGUCAGACAUGGGAUAACUCUGCUAAAGAGGAUGUAUUCGGCCAAGGCACCAAGCUGAUUGUCGCUGACUCUUCUCUUGCUGCGCCUACCCUCUCUCUCCUGCCUCCAUCCAGCGAGGAGCUGAAGACCGACCAAGCCACGGUGGUGUGCCUGGCGCAGAUGUCUGUUGGGUUCGCUGAUGUCAGCUGGACAUCGGGCGGGACACCAGUUACAAGCGGGGUUUUUACCAGCGCAGUCGAACAGAAACCCGACAAAUCCUCCGGUUUGAGCAGCUUCUUAACCAUCAAGUCCUCCGAAUGGAUUACUGACCGCGUCUUUACCUGUAAAGUCUCUGUCGGGUCUAAAACCUCAGAGAAAAGUAUCAAAAAGUCUGAUUGCAGCGAGUAAACUGGCUAUUUUGUGGGGUGCUCUCGAACUGUAUUAUUUCAUUUUGGUUUCUGCAAUAACAGCUUUAACAUGCGAUAGUGUAUCUAACAUUUUGGGAUGGGCUACCAAAAAGCUAAAAAUAUAAAGGCUAGUAUAUCCUGAAUAAGGAUGCUUUAAUGAUUACCAUUUAUACAUAGUGAGCUGUCAAAUGUCAAGAUUCUGUGCAUUUAAUAAAGAGCAUGAAAUGAA